CGCACUUGUGUUUGUGUUUGUCUGAUCUGCGGACAAACACUCAAAGACAGGUGCAAGAAUAAAUUCUGUUUUGCAACCCAGAAUUCAUUACUCAGUAUGACUUUUGAUACAGAUAAGAAGGAACAUG
ensembl:snoRNA